UCUGGUCUUACCCUUUGGAACAAUUGCGGACACAGCAAGGCGUUUUGAGAUUUUCAGGCCAAAAAAUAUCCGGGGGUUCCAGGUAAGUGGGCCUGUUUCCUUGGCAUUUGGGAAACUUUCGUCUCCCAAAUGGCCAAUCAAGAACCUUCUGCUGCAAAGGGUAUCCGUCUUCGACCUCAGGGAUGCGGGCGCCUCCUGGGAAAUGGAGCUCCACUUAGCAAUCUUCCCACUUUUCGUCGGGGAACUACAAAGACCAGAGUUCUUUUCGCUCACGUGUUUAGGGGCGGGAUGUCAGGCGGCCAAUCAGCAGUCAGACAAGCAGCCGGAUGCUGGUCGCUAGCUCUGAAGGAGGAAGGAAAGGGCCGUGAUUGGGUGCUUUUGGCCGUGCUGUGCGCAGGUGUUGAUUUCUGUUGAGGCGUGCGGCAGGUGCCUGAAGGCUUUUCGUGGAGAGCGUGAAGGUAAGACGUUCGUAGUUAGAGCAGGAGGUGGGCGCAGAGGCCUGAAGCGGCCGCGUCACGUGGGACAUCACCCAGCUCGCGGGAAAGACCCCGUCAGGAGGAGUGUGCACGGGCUCCGUUACUUACCUGCUUGUGUUCGCUAAUGGUGGCAACAUUGAACGCGAGGGAACCCAGACGGAGCACGGAAAAGCCGAAGUCUGCUCGCUGGUACUGCACAAACUUUAGUCUGGAACAAACUUUAGCUGAGAAUACUGAAAGACACAUUUGAAAAGACCGCGUACCCAAAUGGGAAUACCCUGGCAGAGCUUGCUUCAGCCACUCAACUUGAUGAGCUAGUAUUACAGACUUGUUUCAAGAACCAGCAUGUCAAAAGGAGGAAACAGCUGCUAUAGUGUCAGUCUAGUGUGGCACUAGAAGCACAAAACCAAACCAUUUCAGUGAAGGAGGAGGAGACUCCUUUAUCUGUACCUUCUACAAACACUCAUCCCCUGAGUCCCAGCAUUGUGAAUGCUUAUGACCAUGAACCCCCUAAGACUUCUAAUAUCGAGCAAUCUGUGGGGACUGGUGCCUCUGUGGGGAAUGUAUCAUGGGAUUCUCAGCCUCGACCUUCAACAGCUAUGUCUGAGUGUCUCUGAUCCUUCUUGGGCCUCCAAUCCCUCUGACAUAGAUCAGUUUAUACAACUACUAGUGUCCUGGUACACAAAAUUCAUGCACGGGG